rnacentral:rRNA from 1 species
UACAGAGGUCUCAAGCGUUGCUCGGAAUCACUGGGCGUAAAGGGUGCGUAGGCGGGUCUUUAAGUCAGGGGUGAAAUCCUGGAGCUCAACUCCAGAACUGCCUUUGAUACUGAAGAUCUUGAGUCCGGGAGAGGUGAGUGGAACUGCGAGUGUAGAGGUGAAAUUCGUAGAUAUUCGCAAGAACACCAGUGGCGAAGGCGGCUCACUGGCCCGUUACCGACGCUCAGGCGCGACAGCGUGGGGAGCAAACAGG